rnacentral:rRNA from 1 species
UACGUAGGUGGCAAGCGUUGUCCGGAAUUACUGGGUGUAAAGGGCGUGUAGGCGGGAAUGCAAGUCAGAUGUGAAAUUCCGGGGCUCAACCCCGGCGCUGCAUCUGAAACUGUGUUUCUUGAGUGCUGGAGAGGAAAGCGGAAUUCCUAGUGUAGCGGUGAAAUGCGUAGAUAUUAGGAGGAACACCAGUGGCGAAGGCGGCUUUCUGGACAGUAACUGACGCUGAGGCGCGAAAGCGUGGGGAGCAAACAGGAUUAGAUACCCUGGUAGUCCACGCCGUAAACGAUGGAUACUAGGUGUAGGAGGUAUCGACCCCUUCUGUGCCGGAGUUAACACAAUAAGUAUCCCACCUGGGGAGUACGGCCGCAAGGUUGAA